CAUAGGUUAAUGAGGCGAACCGGGGGAACUGAAACAUCUAAGUACCCCGAGGAAAAGAAAUCAACCGAGAUUCCCCCAGUAGCGGCGAGCGAACGGGGAGCAGCCCAGAGCCUGAAUCAGUGUGUGUGUUAGUGGAAGCGUCUGGAAAGGCGCGCGAUACAGGGUGACAGCCCCGUACACAAAAAUGCACAUAUUGUGAGCUCGAUGAGUAGGGCGGGACACGUGGUAUCCUGUCUGAAUAUGGGGGGACCAUCCUCCAAGGCUAAAUACUCCUGACUGACCGAUAGUGAACCAGUACCGUGAGGGAAAGGCGAAAAGAACCCCGGCGAGGGGAGUGAAAAAGAACCUGAAACCGUGUACGUACAAGCAGUGGGAGCACGCUUAGGCGUGUGACUGCGUACCUUUUGUAUAAUGGGUCAGCGACUUAUAUUCUGUAGCAAGGUUAACCGAAUAGGGGAGCCGAAGGGAAACCGAGUCUUAACUGGGCGUUAAGUUGCAGGGUAUAGACCCGAAACCCGGUGAUCUAGCCAUGGGCAGGUUGAAGGUUGGGUAACACUAACUGGAGGACCGAACCGACUAAUGUUGAAAAAUUAGCGGAUGACUUGUGGCUGGGGGUGAAAGGCCAAUCAAACCGGGAGAUAGCUGGUUCUCCCCGAAAGCUAUUUAGGUAGCGCCUCGUGAAUUCAUCUCCGGGGGUAGAGCACUGUUUCGGCAAGGGGGUCAUCCCGACUUACCAACCCGAUGCAAACUGCGAAUACCGGAGAAUGUUAUCACGGGAGACACACGGCGGGUGCUAACGUCCGUCGUGAAGAGGGAAACAACCCAGACCGCCAGCUAAGGUCCCAAAGUCAUGGUUAAGUGGGAAACGAUGUGGGAAGGCCCAGACAGCCAGGAUGUUGGCUUAGAAGCAGCCAUCAUUUAAAGAAAGCGUAAUAGCUCACUGGUCGAGUCGGCCUGCGCGGAAGAUGUAACGGGGCUAAACCAUGCACCGAAGCUGCGGCAGCGACGCUUAUGCGUUGUUGGGUAGGGGAGCGUUCUGUAAGCCUGUGAAGGUGUGCUGUGAGGCAUGCUGGAGGUAUCAGAAGUGCGAAUGCUGACAUAAGUAACGAUAAAGCGGGUGAAAAGCCCGCUCGCCGGAAGACCAAGGGUUCCUGUCCAACGUUAAUCGGGGCAGGGUGAGUCGACCCCUAAGGCGAGGCCGAAAGGCGUAGUCGAUGGGAAACAGGUUAAUAUUCCUGUACUUGGUGUUACUGCGAAGGGGGGACGGAGAAGGCUAUGUUGGCCGGGCGACGGUUGUCCCGGUUUAAGCGUGUAGGCUGGUUUUCCAGGCAAAUCCGGAAAAUCAAGGCUGAGGCGUGAUGACGAGGCACUACGGUGCUGAAGCAACAAAUGCCCUGCUUCCAGGAAAAGCCUCUAAGCAUCAGGUAACAUCAAAUCGUACCCCAAACCGACACAGGUGGUCAGGUAGAGAAUACCAAGGCGCUUGAGAGAACUCGGGUGAAGGAACUAGGCAAAAUGGUGCCGUAACUUCGGGAGAAGGCACGCUGAUAUGUAGGUGAAGCGACUUGCUCGUGGAGCUGAAAUCAGUCGAAGAUACCAGCUGGCUGCAACUGUUUAUUAAAAACACAGCACUGUGCAAACACGAAAGUGGACGUAUACGGUGUGACGCCUGCCCGGUGCCGGAAGGUUAAUUGAUGGGGUCAGCGCAAGCGAAGCUCUUGAUCGAAGCCCCGGUAAACGGCGGCCGUAACUAUAACGGUCCUAAGGUAGCGAAAUUCCUUGUCGGGUAAGUUCCGACCUGCACGAAUGGCGUAAUGAUGGCCAGGCUGUCUCCACCCGAGACUCAGUGAAAUUGAACUCGCUGUGAAGAUGCAGUGUACCCGCGGCAAGACGGAAAGACCCCGUGAACCUUUACUAUAGCUUGACACUGAACAUUGAGCCUUGAUGUGUAGGAUAGGUGGGAGGCUUAGAAGUGUGGACGCCAGUCUGCAUGGAGCCGACCUUGAAAUACCACCCUUUAAUGUUUGAUGUUCUAACGUUGACCCGUAAUCCGGGUUGCGGACAGUGUCUGGUGGGUAGUUUGACUGGGGCGGUCUCCUCCUAAAGAGUAACGGAGGAGCACGAAGGUUGGCUAAUCCUGGUCGGACAUCAGGAGGUUAGUGCAAUGGCAUAAGCCAGCUUGACUGCGAGCGUGACGGCGCGAGCAGGUGCGAAAGCAGGUCAUAGUGAUCCGGUGGUUCUGAAUGGAAGGGCCAUCGCUCAACGGAUAAAAGGUACUCCGGGGAUAACAGGCUGAUACCGCCCAAGAGUUCAUAUCGACGGCGGUGUUUGGCACCUCGAUGUCGGCUCAUCACAUCCUGGGGCUGAAGUAGGUCCCAAGGGUAUGGCUGUUCGCCAUUUAAAGUGGUACGCGAGCUGGGUUUAGAACGUCGUGAGACAGUUCGGUCCCUAUCUGCCGUGGGCGCUGGAGAACUGAGGGGGGCUGCUCCUAGUACGAGAGGACCGGAGUGGACGCAUCACUGGUGUUCGGGUUGUCAUGCCAAUGGCACUGCCCGGUAGCUAAAUGCGGAAGAGAUAAGUGCUGAAAGCAUCUAAGCACGAAACUUGCC
rnacentral:rRNA from 1 species